rfam:Kibdelosporangium phytohabitans strain KLBMP1111, complete genome.
GGCGUCUUUCUUCGCGGCGGAGCUGGACCGUCCGUCGCGGUGAAGGUGGAGUUCGUCGAUUCCCAGCGGGAGGAGCACGGUGUCCAGCCGGUCCUGCGGGUGCUUGAGGGCACACCCGCCGAGAUCGCACCG